AUGUGGUCACUGGUCAUAUGGACGAGAUAACGACCACGUUUGUAUCAUGCAUGGGACCAUUAUAAAUAUAAGAUUAGUUGAAAUAUUGUUUUCUCAACAACUCAUAUAUUUAUUAGAAAUUCAUCACAAAUUCUUCGCUCUCUGGAUGUGUACGUAUGUAUUUUUCCAUACCUACCAAACUUGAGAUCCCAUCUUGAUCAGCUAAAAUUUGUGGUUUUGAUUGGUCGAU